rnacentral:lncRNA from 1 species
AACCGCAAUUUCUUUCAAUCAGAUAGAGGGUUGAUCUUAAUUGAAGAAAUUCAAGCUUUAGAUUUAGAAGGGAGGAGGUCUAUACCAAUAUAUUCCAAAUCCAAGUUCAAAAUUGAUGAUCCAUUAAUUCUAGUCAAAAGAUGCUAAGAAUUUCUUAGCACGACAUAAAAUUGGAGAACCUAAGAUAGCACAACGACAUCCAAAAAUCAGAACAUUUUUCUUUCAUUUAUCAAGAAAAGUUCUACUACACAAGAAAACAAAUCAAAUCUUUUAUUAUUAAAAUUUUCUGAAUCAAAGAAAUAAUACUUCUGACCAACUUAGAUAAAUAAUUCAAAUCACUAUGUUUUCGCUGCGCACUCUGAUUCAAAACAUCAAAAUUCUUUAGAUUCACUAAUAACUUUUGAUCAAAAUACUACUUGUCUACGAACAGAACUAUUUAAUACCUCAUUUCUCUACCUUUUGCAUAUCAUUUUGAUGAACUUGUUUCUCUUCUUUGAUUUCUUCCUUGUUAAUAGCAGAAACCUUAUUUUUUUUUUCAAGCUGCUAAGGGAUUAAGCAUCCUACCACCUUUUUUUUUCUUUUUUUUGAUACUUACUAAGUUCAUUCAUA